AACAUGACUCUCGGCAAUGGAUAUCUCGACCCUCGCAUCGAUGAAGAGCGUAGCAAAACGUGAUAUUUGGUGUGAAUUGCAGAAUCCCGUGAACCAUCGAGUUUUUGAACGCAAGUCGCGCCCGAUGCCUUUCGGCGUAGGGCACGCCUGCUUGGGUGU
rnacentral:rRNA from 1 species